rnacentral:rRNA from 1 species
GGUGAAAUUCUUGGACCGUCGCAAGACGGACUUAAGCGAAAGCAUUUGCCAAAAACGCUUUCAUCGAUCAAGAACGAAAGUUAGAGGUUCGAAGGCGAUCAGAUACCGCCCUAGUUCUAACCAUAAACUAUGCCAGCUAGCGAUCCGCCGAAGUUACUUCUAUGACUCGGCGGGCAGCUUCCGGGAAACCAAAGCUUUCGGGUUCCGGGGGAAGUAUGGUUGCAAAGCUGAAACUUAAAGGAAUUGACGGAAGGGCACCACCAGGAGUGGAGCCUGCGGCUUAAUUUGACUCAACACGGGAAACCUCACCAGGCCCGGACACCGGAAGGAUUGACAGAUUGAGAGCUCUUUCUUGAUUCGGUGGGUGGUGGUGCAUGGCCGUUCUUAGUUGGUGGAGCGAUUUGUCUGGUUAAUUCCGAUAACGAACGAGACUCA